CCCGUUCCCAUCCCGAACACGGUAGUUAAGCUUCUCUGCGCCAAUGGUAGUUGGGGGCUUCCCCCUGCGAGAGUAGGCCGCUGCCGGGC
rnacentral:rRNA from 1 species